rnacentral:rRNA from 1 species
AUUUUGGACAAUGGGGGCAACCCUGAUCCAGCCAUCCCGCGUGUGCGAUGAAGGCCUUCGGGUUGUAAAGCACUUUUGGCAGGGAAGAAAAGGCGCUGGAUAAUACCUGGCGCCGCUGACGGUACCUGCCGCAUAAGCAGCGGCUAACUACGUGUCAGCAGCCGCGGUAAUACGUAGGGUGCCAGCGUUCAUCGGAAUUACUGGGCGUAAAGCGUGCGCAGGCGGUUCGGAAAGAAAGAUGUGAAAUCCCAGGGCUUAACCUUGGAACUGCAUUUUUAACUGCCGGGCUAGAGUAUGUCAGAGGGGGGUAGAAUUCCACGUGUAGCAGUGAAAUGCGUAGAGAUGUGGAGGAAUACCGAUGGCGAAGGCAGCCCCCUGGGAUAAUACUGACGCUCAUGCACGAAAGCGUGGGGAGCAAACAG